GCCCGGCAUAGUAGUGCAUGCCUGUAAUCCCAGUGGCUCAGGAGGCUGAGACAAGAGGACUGUGAGUUCAAAGCUAGCCUCAGCAAAAGCGAGGUGCUGAGCAACUCAGUGAGACCUUGUCUCUA
rnacentral:sRNA from 1 species